UGGUGGAGUGAUUUGUCUGGUUAAUUCCGUUAACGAACGAGACCUCGACCUGCUAAAUAGUUUGGCGAAUUCUCCGGGAUUCGUGCACAACUUCUUAGAGGGACUAUCGGUGUGUAGCCGAUGGAAGUUCGAGGCAAUAACA
rnacentral:rRNA from 1 species